CGGACGGGUGAGUAACGCGUGAGAAUCUGCCUUUUGGUCGGGGACAACCACUGGAAACGGUGGCUAAUACCGGAUGAGCCUACGGGUAAAAGAUUUAUUGCCAAAAGAAGAGCUCGCGUCUGAUUAGCUAGUUGGUGUGGUAAGAGCGCACCAAGGCGACGAUCAGUAGCUGGUCUGAGAGGAUGACCAGCCACACUGGGACUGAGACACGGCCCAGACUCCUACGGGAGGCAGCAGUGGGGAAUUUUCCGCAAUGGGCGCAAGCCUGACGGAGCAAGACCGCGUGAGGGAGGAAGGCUCUUGGGUUGUAAACCUCUUUUAUCAGGGAAGAAAAAAAUGACGGUACCUGAUGAAUCAGCAUCGGCUAACUCCGUGCCAGCAGCCGCGGUAAUACGGAGGAUGCAAGCGUUAUCCGGAAUUAUUGGGCGUAAAGCGUCCGCAGGUGGCUAUUCAAGUCUGUUGUUAAAGCACGGGGCUUAACCCCGGAAAGGCAAUGGAAACUGAAAAGCUAGAGUGCAGUAGGGGUAAAGGGAAUUCCCGGUGUAGCGGUGAAAUGCGUAGAGAUCGGGAAGAACAUCGGUGGCGAAAGCGCUUUACUGGACUGCAACUGACACUCAGGGACGAAAGCUAGGGGAGCGAAUGGGAUUAGAUACCCCAGUAGUC
rnacentral:rRNA from 1 species